rnacentral:lncRNA from 1 species
AGCAUUAACAUAAAGAAGAAUUUUUAUCAACGAAAGGACAAAAUAGCCAGUUAAUAUCAAAUGGCAGCAACCCUAAAUUUAAAUCGACCAAAUCUCCCAAUCAAAAGAUACAGUCAAAAUCUAACGGUAUAUCCAAAGAUAUACAUAGACUCAAAAUAAAGGGUUGGAAAAAAAAAACGUACCAACCAAAUGGAGAGCAAAAAUAAAUAAAUAAAAAGCAGGAGUUGCAAUUUUCACAUUUGACAAAAUAGAUUUCAAAGCUACAAGGAUACAAGGGUAAAAGGAUUAAUGUAAUAAUAAGAGAUCUUAACACCCAGAUACAUAAGACCCAUAAUGAGAUUUAGAUUCAACGAGACAGAAAAUUGAUAACAAUAUCCGGGACUGGAACUAAGAUCCAGAACAAAUAAACUCAAUAGAGCUCUCCAUUUUAAACACACAAAAUAUACAUUAUCCACAAAAUCUAACGAUAUAUCUAAAGAUAUACAAAGACUCAAAACAAGGGGAUGGAAAAAAACUCACCAACCAAAUGGAGAGCAAAAAUAAAUAAAUAAAAAGCAGGAGUUGCAAUUCUCACACUUAAUAAAAUAGAUUUCAAAGCUACAAGGAUGCAAGGGUAAAAGGAUUAAUGUAACAAUAAGAGAUCUUAAUACCCAGAUACAUAAGACACAUCACGAGAUUUAGAUUCAACGAGACAACAAAUUGAUAACGAUAUCCAGGACUUGAACUCAGAGCCAGAACAAAUAAACACAAUAGAGGUCUCCAUUUUAAACACAUAAAAUAUGCAUUAACCACUUUAAACACUAAAAUAUUGAUCGGCCAUUAUUGAAACCCAUUUUAGGAAUGAAGUAAUAUUCCUUUUUCCCUCUUUUUCUUUUUUUCCCCUUCUUUUUCUCUUUUUCCCUAAAAAAAAAAAGAAAAAAGAAUACCACUGAGACUGGGUAAUUUAUAAAAGAAAGAGGUUUAAUUGACUUACAAUUCUGCAUGACUGAGAGGCCUCAGGAAACUACAAUCAUGGUGGAAGGUGAAGCAGACACGUCUUACAUGGUGGCAGGCUGGGUGCUGUGGCUCACACCUGUAUUUCCAGCACUUUGGGAGGCUGAGUGUGGAUCAUCUGAAGUCAAGAGUUCAAGACCAGCCUGGCCAACAUGGUGAAACCUCUUCUCUACUAAAAAUACA